rnacentral:rRNA from 1 species
AUUGAACGCUAGCGGGAUGCCUUACACAUGCAAGUCGAACAGCAGCACGGACUUCGGUCUGGUGGCGAGUGGCGAACGGGUGAGUAAUGUAUCGGAACGUGCCCAGUAGCGGGGGAUAACUACGCGAAAGCGUAGCUAAUACCGCAUACGCCCUACGGGGAAAGCAGGGGAUCGUAAGACCUUGCACUAUUGGAGCGGCCGAUAUCGGAUUAGCUAGUUGGUGAGGUAAUGGCUGACCAAGGCGACGAUCCGUAGCUGGUUUGAGAGGACGACCAGCCAAACUGGGACUGAGACACGGCCCAGACUCCUACGGGAGGCAGCAGUGGGGAAUUUUGGACAAUGGGGGAAACCCUGAUCCAGCCAUCCCGCGUGUGCGAUGAAGGCCUUCGGGUUGUAAAGCACUUUUGGCAGGAAAGAAAUGGCGUGUGUUAAUACCAUGCGCAGAUGACGGUACCUGCAGAAUAAGCACCGGCUAACUACGUGCCAGCCGCCGCAGUAA